CGCUAGCGACAGGCUUAACACAUGCAAGUCGAGGGGCAGCACAGGUAGCAAUACCGGGUGGCGACCGGCGCACGGGUGAGUAACGCGUAUGCAACUUGCCUAUCAGAGGGGGAUAACCCGGCGAAAGUCGGACUAAUACCGCAUGAAGCAGGGAUCCCGCAUGGGAAUAUUUGCUAAAGAUUCAUCGCUGAUAGAUAGGCAUGCGUUCCAUUAGGCAGUUGGCGGGGUAACGGCCCACCAAACCGACGAUGGAUAGGGGUUCUGAGAGGAAGGUCCCCCACAUUGGUACUGAGACACGGACCAAACUCCUACGGGAGGCAGCAGUGAGGAAUAUUGGUCAAUGGCCGAGAGGCUGAACCAGCCAAGUCGCGUGAGGGAUGAAGGUUCUAUGGAUCGUAAACCUCUUUUAUAAGGGAAUAAAGUGCGGGACGUGUCCCGUUUUGUAUGUACCUUAUGAAUAAGGAUCGGCUAACUCCGUGCCAGCAGCCGCGGUAAUACGGAGGAUCCGAGCGUUAUCCGGAUUUAUUGGGUUUAAAGGGUGCGUAGGCGGCCUUUUAAGUCAGCGGUGAAAGUCUGUGGCUCAACCAUAGAAUUGCCGUUGAAACUGGGGGGCUUGAGUAUGUUUGAGGCAGGCGGAAUGCGUGGUGUAGCGGUGAAAUGCAUAGAUAUCACGCAGAACCCCGAUUGCGAAGGCAGCCUGCCAAGCCAUUACUGACGCUGAUGCACGAAAGCGUGGGGAUCAAACAGGAUUAGAUACCCUGGUAGUCCACGCAGUAAACGAUGAUCACUAGCUGUUUGCGAUACACUGUAAGCGGCACAGCGAAAGCGUUAAGUGAUCCACCUGGGGAGUACGCCGGCAACGGUGAAACUCAAAGGAAUUGACGGGGGCCCGCACAAGCGGAGGAACAUGUGGUUUAAUUCGAUGAUACGCGAGGAACCUUACCCGGGUUUGAACGCAUUCGGACCGAGGUGGAAACACCUUUUCUAGCAAUAGCCGUUUGCGAGGUGCUGCAUGGUUGUCGUCAGCUCGUGCCGUGAGGUGUCGGCUUAAGUGCCAUAACGAGCGCAACCCUUGCCACUAGUUACUAACAGGUAAAGCUGAGGACUCUGGUGGGACUGCCAGCGUAAGCUGCGAGGAAGGCGGGGAUGACGUCAAAUCAGCACGGCCCUUACAUCCGGGGCGACACACGUGUUACAAUGGCGUGGACAAAGGGAAGCCACCUGGCGACAGGGAGCGAAUCCCCAAACCACGUCUCAGUUCGGAUCGGAGUCUGCAACCCGACUCCGUGAAGCUGGAUUCGCUAGUAAUCGCGCAUCAGCCAUGGCGCGGUGAAUACGUUCCCGGGCCUUGUACACACCGCCCGUCAAGCCAUGGGAGCCGGGGGUACCUGAAGUCCGUAACCGCGAGGAUCGGCCUAGGGUAAAACUGGUGACUG
rnacentral:rRNA from 1 species